GGUUAAGCGACUAAGCGUACACGGUGGAUGCCCUGGCAGUCAGAGGCGAUGAAGGACGUGCUAAUCUGCGAUAAGCGUCGGUAAGGUGAUAUGAACCGUUAUAACCGGCGAUUUCCGAAUGGGGAAACCCAGUGUGUUUCGACACACUAUCAUUAACUGAAUCCAUAGGUUAAUGAGGCGAACCGGGGGAACUGAAACAUCUAAGUACCCCGAGGAAAAGAAAUCAACCGAGAUUCCCCCAGUAGCGGCGAGCGAACGGGGAGCAGCCCAGAGCCUGAAUCAGUGUGUGUGUUAGUGGAAGCGUCUGGAAAGGCGCGCGAUACAGGGUGACAGCCCCGUACACAAAAAUGCACAUUCUGUGAGCUCGAUGAGUAGGGCGGGACACGUGGUAUCCUGUCUGAAUAUGGGGGGACCAUCCUCCAAGGCUAAAUACUCCUGACUGACCGAUAGUGAACCAGUACCGUGAGGGAAAGGCGAAAAGAACCCCGGCGAGGGGAGUGAAAAAGAACCUGAAACCGUGUACGUACAAGCAGUGGGAGCACAGAGCAAUCUGUGUGACUGCGUACCUUUUGUAUAAUGGGUCAGCGACUUAUAUUCUGUAGCAAGGUUAACCGAAUAGGGGAGCCGAAGGGAAACCGAGUCUUAACUGGGCGUUAAGUUGCAGGGUAUAGACCCGAAACCCGGUGAUCUAGCCAUGGGCAGGUUGAAGGUUGGGUAACACUAACUGGAGGACCGAACCGACUAAUGUUGAAAAAUUAGCGGAUGACUUGUGGCUGGGGGUGAAAGGCCAAUCAAACCGGGAGAUAGCUGGUUCUCCCCGAAAGCUAUUUAGGUAGCGCCUCGUGAAUUCAUCUCCGGGGGUAGAGCACUGUUUCGGCAAGGGGGUCAUCCCGACUUACCAACCCGAUGCAAACUGCGAAUACCGGAGAAUGUUAUCACGGGAGACACACGGCGGGUGCUAACGUCCGUCGUGAAGAGGGAAACAACCCAGACCGCCAGCUAAGGUCCCAAAGUCAUGGUUAAGUGGGAAACGAUGUGGGAAGGCCCAGACAGCCAGGAUGUUGGCUUAGAAGCAGCCAUCAUUUAAAGAAAGCGUAAUAGCUCACUGGUCGAGUCGGCCUGCGCGGAAGAUGUAACGGGGCUAAACCAUGCACCGAAGCUGCGGCAGCGAC
rnacentral:rRNA from 1 species